rnacentral:lncRNA from 1 species
UUAGAAACAACCAAUAUCUUUUCUUCCUCUUUCAUAUCUUGUUUCCGAGAUUCUUCUUCUAUACGAAGACGGGUAAUCAGACCCUCAAUGGAAAACUCCUUUGUCUUAUGACGGAGCUGAUUCUUAAAAUCCUUCCAACUAGGGGGCAGCUUAUCAAUUAUAACAGAAAUUUGAAACUGCUCAUGUAAAGGCAUAUCUUCAGUUAUUAUCUCAUGAGCAAUCUUCUGCAGUUCAUGUGACUGCACUUCCACUGACCUUUCAUCAACCAUCUGGUAUUUCAAAUACCUACUCACAGCAUACUUCUUCACACCAGCUUCCUCAGUAUCAUACUUCUUACUCAGAGCCUCCCACACAUCACUGGCUGUGUUAUAAGUUUUGUAAUAAUCAUACAGAUCAUCCUCCAAUCCAUUAAUGAUAUAGUUUUUGCAAAC